CGACGCGUUGGCCCAAUUGAUUGAUGGUGCUUGCACCUGAUUGAUUUUGGUUGCCAACGAGUGGCGGACGGGUGAGUAACACGUAGGUAACCUGCCCAGAAGCGGGGGACAACAUUUGGAAACAGAUGCUAAUACCGCAUAACAGCGUUGUUCGCAUGAACAACGCUUAAAAGAUGGCUUCUCGCUAUCACUUCUGGAUGGACCUGCGGUGCAUUAGCUUGUUGGUGGGGUAACGGCCUACCAAGGCGAUGAUGCAUAGCCGAGUUGAGAGACUGAUCGGCCACAAUGGGACUGAGACACGGCCCAUACUCCUACGGGAGGCAGCAGUAGGGAAUCUUCCACAAUGGGCGCAAGCCUGAUGGAGCAACACCGCGUGAGUGAAGAAGGGUUUCGGCUCGUAAAGCUCUGUUGUUAAAGAAGAACACGUAUGAGAGUAACUGUUCAUACGUUGACGGUAUUUAACCAGAAAGUCACGGCUAACUACGUGCCAGCAGCCGCGGUAAUACGUAGGUGGCAAGCGUUAUCCGGAUUUAUUGGGCGUAAAGAGAGUGCAGGCGGUUUUCUAAGUCUGAUGUGAAAGCCCUCGGCUUAACCGAGGAACUGCAUCGGAAACUGUUUUUCUUGAGUGCAGAAGAGGAGAGUGGAACUCCAUGUGUAGCGGUGGAAUGCGUAGAUAUAUGGAAGAACACCAGUGGCGAAGGCGGCUCUCUGGUCUGCAACUGACGCUGAGGCUCGAAAGCAUGGGUAGCGAACAGGAUUAGAUACCCUGGUAGUCCAUGCCGUAAACGAUGAGUGCUAAGUGUUGGGAGGU
rnacentral:rRNA from 1 species